rnacentral:rRNA from 1 species
UACGUAGGGUGCAAGCGUUAAUCGGAAUUACUGGGCGUAAAGCGUGCGCAGGCGGCUUUGCAAGACAGAUGUGGAAUCCCCGGGCUCAACCUGGGAACUGCAUUUGUGACUGCAAGGCUAGAGUACGGCAGAGGGGGAUGGAAUUCCGCGUGUAGCAGUGAAAUGCGUAGAUAUGCGGAGGAACACCGAUGGCGAAGGCAAUCCCCUGGGCCUGUACUGACGCUCAUGCACGAAAGCGUGGGGAGCAAACAGG